rnacentral:lncRNA from 1 species
UGGCUAUGGGCUCUGAUGUCUUAAAUAUGCAGAAGAAUGUUUUCACUAGAAGAGAUAAUGACAAUCCUAUUGUGAUGCAGGCUGGCUGGGUCUGAGACCCAGAAUAGGUAAUGGGUCCCACAGGACCAGUCAACAGUGUUCUGGGCUUCACACUGCAUAGAAAUCAAACAUGAGUCAAAAAGUGAGGGUUUAUUAAAGAUAGUACAGAUAUGGACAGAGGAUCCAGGAGACUCAGAAAGGAAAAAAAAAGGAUGCAAAUAGUACCUACCUGAUGAGGUUACUACAGUGGGGAUUAAAUGAUACCUGGGAAUGCCUGAGAGAUGCUACCACUUCAUUGAAUCUACUCCAGUAACUUGAAUGGCUCAUUCCUAUGUGUCAAUUCAUUAACCUUAGAGAGAUCCUUCAUAAAGAAGUUACAGAAAAUAUCAAGAACCUUCAGCAAUAUUAGGUUGAAAGUUCACUGGUGUUUACGACAUGGCAUGGCCCUCAGUUCCUCGGGGUGCCGGUCACAUGCUUUUGAAGAAGAGGAAGUCAUAGGAAUGAAGAAGUGGAAGGAAUAAGGGGGAACACAGUACCUAUACUUGGAAG